rnacentral:ncRNA from 1 species
CGGUGCAAAGCACCAGGGGAUGAAAUGAGAACGGAGUGAGGCGGACCCAUUCAGGGCGCCAAUUCUCCGGCCGCCCCCGCGACUGUAAGCGGCGAGCACCCGUCAGAUGCCACUGGGAUACCCCCGGGAAGGUGACGGCAGUGCUUUGACCCGUAAGCCAGGAGACCAGCCUUGCGCACU